UCAAAUGACUCUCGGCAAUGGAUAUCUCGGCUCUUGCAUCGAUGAAGAACGUAGUGAAAUGUGAUACUUGGUGUGAAUUGCAGAAUCUCGUGAACCAUUGAGUCUUUGAACGCAAGUUGUGGCCGAGGGCAUGCCUGCUUGGGCGUCAUGG
rnacentral:rRNA from 1 species